GACGAACGCUGGCGGCGUGCUUAACACAUGCAAGUCGAGCGGAGCGGCGAACGGGUGAGUAACGCGUGAGUAACUGCCCCCCUCUCUGGGAUAACAGUUGGAAACGGAUGCGAAUACCGGAUAGUGGGGGAUGUAUCGCGUCAUAUCAGCUUGGUGGUGGGGGAGUGGCCUACCAAGGCGAGGACGGGGAGCCGGCCUGAGAGGGCGACCGGCCACAUUGUGCUAAGAGACGGCCCGAACUCCUACGGGGGGCAGCAGUGGGGAAUAUUGCACAAUCGGGGAAACCCUGAUUCGGCAACGCGGGUGCGGGAUGACGGCCUUGGGGUUGUAAACCGCUUUCAGCCAUGACGCGGUAGUGGCAGAAGAAGCACCGGCUAACUACGUGCCAGCAGCCGCGGUAAUAC
rnacentral:rRNA from 1 species